GCUCAUGCUCACUUUGGUAUAUGCUAACAUUGGAAUGCUACAGAGAUGGUUAGCAUGGCCCCUACACAAUGAUGAUGUGAGAUUCAUGAAGGAGGUGAUACAUUCAA
ensembl:snRNA U6 U6 spliceosomal RNA